AAGAUGACUGUAAGUCAGAUCAAA
rnacentral:snRNA from 1 species